ensembl:snRNA U1 U1 spliceosomal RNA
AUAUUUAUUUGACAUGGAGGCAGUCUGAUCAUGAGAUGGUUUUUGAGAGUGAGCCUCAUCACUAGCACUUCAGGUAGGCUGACUCCUGCAAUUCCCCAAAAUCCUGGGAACUUGACUGGGAAAUUUGUGAUGUGGGAGAGUGUUUUGUUCUUUUUCUUG